GGAAAUUAAAACGAUUUUAUUGAUCAAAAUGACAUGAGUGUCAGAAACUCCUAUGGUGCACAGCUGGGCUGUUACCGACAAGCAUUAGAGCUCUUAUUUCCAGACUCUUUCCUCAGAGUCAACUACGUUUACAGUAUUAAAGGAUAAACUUCAGUACAAAGCACCAAAAGAGUGAACAUUUUGACAUCCAGAACUAACGAUGACAUGAAAUACUACUAUUGUACAACAACACCUGUAAACAAACUGGAGCAAGGAGAUGACUGACUUAAAGUACGGUGUGCACAUCAUGGUGGUUCCAGCCAUGCAGUGUGACCCGAGGAGUGACACCAGGAGGUACUUCGAAGGAAAUGGUUACUGUCAUCACUUCACCUGGUACCAGUGAAAAAUAGUUGUUGGAGUAAUGAAUAGGAAGGAUGCGUGUGUCUUCUUCACCUUUCUUGUUUUCCUCCUUUGAAGCAUGAACAGAGAAAUGAAGAAAGAAAGCAACUCCUUUCCCCGUUCCAUUAACUUCAGAAACCUUCGCCUUGUUGUGACCCCUUGAAAAGUUCCUCCUAAUCUUCUCGUAUAAACUGAUUUCAUGUUUCUCCCCAUCCAAAAGGUCAAAAGAUUCUGAUGAAUCCGAUUCAUCAAAGCUGCCGUUUCUUCUGAUAAAGUUAUUUCUAUACAGUGGAGCGUUAGAAUCUGGCUUCUUUGAUGUGUUCUGAAUAUGCAUGCGCAUUUCAUAGCUCGACCCUUUUAUAAAGGUUAGAGAAGUUAUCUUGAGGGGUGGUCUUCUCUCCCUGAAUUGUUCCAAAAGCUUGUAAUCACCACCGGUUAGGUGCAACCAGUAAAAAUUCCUCGAGUAUAUGCGAUUAUCAGACACAUCAUAGAGUUUGAGAAGAAGAAAGUAAACUGGCUUUGGAUUCUUUGACUUUGGAUACUUCAUCUCAAACGUAGAUAUAGUUUUUUUGGGUGGCACAGUAAGUUUUUCAGAGGUUUUGUAGUAUGGACAUUCGCCUUCCAAAUCCCAAACUGAGGUUUCUAUAGCAACGUUAGAAAGUUCCUCUGACGUAGUGUUCACUACCUCAACAGAAUAUGUUGCCAGAUUAAGCUGAACAUGAAUUGGUUCUGCCGCAGAGCGGCAGCCAUAGAAUCCUGCUGUUUGGUCAAGGAGAUGAUCAUAAAACUGGCCUCUUAGACCAGUCCAUGGGUUUUGAGUUUUCCAUAUCAAAACACCUGUAUAUUUGCUCCACAUCUGGGAAGUGUAGCCUUCUAAAAGAGCUCUGUACUGAACAUAGUUAACAAGCUGUGCCUUCAGACAAAAAUCAUCCAGAUCAUUUGGUUUCCCAUAUGAUAAUAUCUGGUCAUGAACCUUCUCUGGUUUGGAAUAGGGAAUGUAUUUAUGAUAAGUCCAUAUGGGAUUGGGGACUUCUUCAAUGUAGCCAUUUGAUAAUUUUUUGAACAGAGGAAUCUGCCACCCUUCUGGAGGCAUAGUUGCCCUGAUAGUAGCCGCUACUGGCAUCCCCACGUUACCGACCUCUGGAUUAAAGCCAUACUGGUAGUAGUCAUGCUUGAAGAAGUCCUCGGAGUUCACCGAUGGUCCUUACGAAAUUCAG
rnacentral:misc_RNA from 1 species